AUUGAACGCUGGCGGCGUGCCUAACACAUGCAAGUCGAGCGGCAGCGCGGGAGCAAUCCUGGCGGCGAGCGGCGGACGGGUGAGUAACGCUUGGGAAUCUGCCUAUUAGUGGGGGACAACCCGGGGAAACUCGGGCUAAUACCGCAUACGCACUACGGUGGAAAGCCGGGGACCGCAAGGCCUGGCGCUAACAGAUGAGCCCAAGUCGGAUUAGCUAGUUGGUAGGGUAACGGCCUACCAAGGCGACGAUCCGUAACUGGUCUGAGAGGACGACCAGUCACACCGGAACUGAGACACGGUCCGGACUCCUACGGGAGGCAGCAGUGGGGAAUAUUGGACAAUGGGGGAAACCCUGAUCCAGCGACGCCGCGUGGGUGAAGAAGGCCUGCGGGUUGU
rnacentral:rRNA from 1 species